GUUUCCAUAGUGUAGUGGUUAUCACGUCUGCCUAACACGCAGAAGGUCCCUGUUUCGAAAAUGGGUGGAAACA
rnacentral:tRNA from 1 species